UACGUAGGGUGCGAGCGUUAAUCGGAAUUACUGGGCGUAAAGUGUGCGCAGGCGGCUUCGCAAGUCGAGUGUGAAAUCCCCGAGCUUAACUUGGGAAUUGCGCUCGAAACUACGGAGCUGGAGUGUGGCAGAGGAAGGUGGAGUUCCACGUGUAGCGGUGAAAUGCGUAGAGAUGUGGAGGAAUACCGAUGGCGAAGGCAGCCUCCUGGGCCAACACUGACGCUCAUGCACGAAAGCGUGGGGAGCAAACAGG
rnacentral:rRNA from 1 species